CUCUGAUCAAAGGGCAAGCAAAUUCCACUCCUCGGAGCCUGCUUCUCAUCUGCAGUUUUAAAAUUAACCAGCCUAAAAUCCUCAUCACCUCCCUCGUGGUUCCUGGGGGUGUGCCUGAAGUUUGAGGGUCAGAGCAGGAAGUGAGGGGCCAGCCAGGCCGGAGGAGACCGAGCUGUGUGCUUGCUGCCCUCUGACCCCUGGGGCGGAGGGCAGGGGCCUCCGUCCACGGAAGGGACUCCUGCUGGGAGGCAGUCUAGGCCUUUGCUUUCUUUCUCUGCCCUUGGGCCCACCAGCAAUAGGCUAAUGUGCUUUCUGUGUUUCCACGAGAAGGUGGCUGAAGGCAGGAUCUCCCAGACUUUGAUCAGGAAGAGUCUUUGCUGGCAGCGCAUCUAUCAAUGUCUCCAGAACAACGUUCCUCAUGGCACACUGAUCGAACGCGGUGAGUAUAGCAGGUGAAUAAACUCUGGCCAAUGGCUAAGAUAAGGGAAAUAAUCCUUGUGUAGUGCUUUCAUCUUGCUUUCAACUUUAAAUGUUAGUUUUUCUUUAAGCAAGGCCUUCUGACUCACUGGGGCUCUUGGCGCAAGAAGGUGUGUUUGCAUUUCAAAGUCUUACGUUUCCCAACAAAGCCAAGCUCUGAAAACAUGUUUUGCUGUGAUGAAGACCUUUCUGAGAUUCUAAAGGAAAACAAAAGCACAACGAGGUUCCCGUCCUCCUUUGACAACAGUGCCUUCAAGGGCGGGCCCUCAUAUCAAACUGCCUUCUUUGCUCUCAGUCUGAACCCAGUACAAGCAACCCUAACGCUGCCUUGAGCACAAGCGUCUUGAUGGAGGUCAUCUCUGCUGAUCCCCUCCACGUCCUCCUGAACUCUCACUACUCCAUGUUCAUAUUCCCACACAGCCAGCACCCUACUGAUGCUGCCCCUGGUAAGGCCACCAGGGACCUCCUAACUGCCAAAUCCGAAGGGUUAUCUCUGGACCUGACCACGCUGGGCCUCUACUCACUGGAAGUGGCUGAUCUUUCCCACCACGUGGACCCUGCGGCCCCCACGCCCUGCAUUCCUCCUGCCGCUCUGGCUAAAAGGCUUCAGGCUUUUUUGGUGACCCUCCUUGCACACUCCACCCUUAACCUCCCUCUCUUCUCAUUCUACCAAUGCUUCUUCCACUUCUUUUUUCAAGGACACCUUUGAAAAUUUGCUGAAAGGGAUGGGAAGAGUUUCCCCAAAACAAAAUAAAACUCUGUAUUCACAGACACAUAAUAUUUUAAGUCACUUCAAGAGGCCUCUGGACAUCCUGAAGCCACAUUGGCCCUCUGCUCUCCUUUCUCAACUGGGGGAUGGCAACCACUCCCAGGCUUCAAGUGUCACCGGUGUGUUGAUGGCUCUCAAAUGUGUACCUGGAGCAGCCACCAUUCUCCAAAACUCUAAUCGUGCAUCCCCAAUUGCCCACUAGAAAUCUCUGUUCUCUCACAGCUCCUCCUGCUCCACGUGUUCAAAACCAGCCUGAGCAUCCCGCAGCCCCGUCUGACUUCUUCUCCGAGUGGAUGAUGCUGCUGUUCGGCCCGGUCACCGAGAGGAACGUGCUCUUCCUCUCCCUCCUGUUGCAGCGUCUGAGCUUCAGGCACCUCUCACCUCUUACCUGGGCUCCUGGAGGAGCUUCUGUUUGGUCUGCCCAACUCCCGCGUUGCCCCUUCAAAUGCCCCCUCCACUCCGCAGCCACCAUGACCCUCGCUGACCCCCCGCUCUGCUGACGGCAGGUGCCCCCAAGUGUGUUUCCAAGAAGAUGCAAUCAGUGUGCUGUAUUCAGUGUUAUAUGAACACAAAGGUUUUCAUGGUCAUGAAGUUGGAGAAAAGAGGGAAAAUUAGUUAGGUUUAAUUACUUUCCAGAGUCUUCGACAUGCUAAAACACAUUUUGGAGCUCCAACUGGGGGGUGCUUAAUAAAACCUUUGGCAAACUUUCUAGCAACAAAGGUGUAGUUUUUUGGAAUACACUGGAUAUAGCUGUUCUACGAGCUGAAAUGUGAUUUCCUUGUCUUCUCUCAUUGCUUUUCAUCUCCAGCUACUCUUCUUGUGUAGACAGUGGGAGGACAGCAGUGUGGUACUCUGGAUUCAAGAACAGGAAGCUCUAAAUCUCAGCACAAGACUUUGGGUCCAACUCUUUACUUCCUCAGCACACGUGCUGGCCAGGCCCC
rnacentral:lncRNA from 1 species